GAGAAAACGGGCAGAGAUUUGGAGGUAUUUGUGCAUGCUCUAUAUUACAGUUGAAAAGUGUAUAACAGCUUUCCAAUGCUGUUACUUGUGGCGAACACCUUUUUGCUUGAGUUGAUGCGUGCCCGCAGGUGGAAUAAUGUCACAUGUCACACACAUUUUCUGUUGUUUUGAUUUAUUUACUCAUUCAUCAUUUUAUGUGCGCACCUCUCAUAAUCAACCCACCCAUUAAAUAGACGGGCACAAUAGCACCAUCUGCUGGCACAAAAAAUACAUAACAAUAAACUGCAAAACCCCAAUCUGGCUCCUACAAAGUGUAUGUGACAAGAUGAUUAACGUUUGCUUUUGUUAAAUCAGGGCUUCCCCAGCCAGGACUUCGGCUCAGACUGUGGCAUAUUCAUGUUGAUGGUAGGUCAUAACGAGCUGUAAUGCACAAAUAUUGUAUCUAGAAUAACUUUCCAACAUGGACUUUUUUAAAGUUAUCUCACAUGUUGUCUCAUAAUUUUUUUUUUAAAGUCUGCCAUGUACAUCGUUAU